GACGAACGCUGGCGGCGUGCCUAAUACAUGCAAGUUGAGCGCUGAAGGUUGGUACUUGUACCAACUGGAUGAGCAGCGAACGGGUGAGUAACGCGUGGGGAAUCUGCCUUUGAGCGGGGGACAACAUUUGGAAACGAAUGCUAAUACCGCAUAAAAACUUUAAACACAAGUUUUAAGUUUGAAAGAUGCAAUUGCAUCACUCAAAGAUGAUCCCGCGUUGUAUUAGCUAGUUGGUGAGGUAAAGGCUCACCAAGGCGAUGAUACAUAGCCGACCUGAGAGGGUGAUCGGCCACAAUGGGACUGAGACACGGCCCAAACUCCUACGGGAGGCAGCAGUAGGGAAUCUUCGGCAAUGGACGAAAGGCUGACCGAGCAACGCCGCGUGAGUGAAGAAGGUUUUCGGAUCGUAAAACUCUGUUGGUAGAGAAGAACGUUGGUGAGAGUGGAAAGCUCAUCAAGUGACGGUAACUACCCAGAAAGGGACGGCUAACUACGUG
rnacentral:rRNA from 1 species